AAGCGUUGUUCGGAAUUAUUGGGCGUAAAGCGCGUGUAGGCGGCUUGGCAAGUCGGUUGUGAAAGCCCGGGGCCCAACCCCGGAAUUGCAUCUGAAACUGCCUCGCUAGAGUCCCGGAGAGGAAGGCAGAAUUCCCGGUGUAGGGGUGAAAUCCGUAGAUAUCGGGAGGAAUACCAGCGGCGAAGGCGGCCUUCUGGACGGUGACUGACGCUGAGACGCGAAAGCGUGGGGAGCAAACAGGAUUAGAUACCCUGGUAGUCCACGCCGUAAACGUUGAGUGCUAGGUGUCGCGGGUAUUGACCCCUGCAGUGCC
rnacentral:rRNA from 1 species